rnacentral:rRNA from 1 species
AGAGUUUGAUCAUGGCUCAGGAUGAACGCUAGCGGCAGGCCUAACACAUGCAAGUCGAGGGGCAGCACGGUGUAGCAAUACACUGGUGGCGACCGGCGCACGGGUGCGUAACGCGUAUGCAACCUACCCAUAACAGGGGGAUAACACUGAGAAAUUGGUACUAAUACCCCAUAACAUCAGGACCGGCAUCGGUUCUGGUUGAAAACUCCGGUGGUUAUGGAUGGGCAUGCGUUGUAUUAGCUGGUUGGUGAGGUAACGGCUCACCAAGGCAACGAUACAGUAGGGGGACUGAGACGGUUAACCCCCCACAUUGGUACUGAGACACGGCCCAAACUCCUACGGGAGGCAGCA